rnacentral:rRNA from 1 species
CCUACGGGAGGCAGCAGUGAGGAAUAUUGGUCAAUGGACGAGAGUCUGAACCAGCCAAGUCGCGUGAAGGAUGACUGCCCUAUGGGUUGUAAACUUCUUUUAUAUGGGAAUAAAAUGUUCCACGUGUGGGAUUUUGUAUGUAUCAUAUCAAUAAGGAUCGGCUAACUCCGUGCCAGCAGCCGCGGUAAUCCGGAGGAUCCGAGCGUUAUCCGGAUUUAUUGGGUUUAAAGGGAGCGUAGGUGGAUUGUUAAGUCAGGUGUGAAAGUUUGCGGCUCAACCGUAAAAUUGCAGUUGAAACUGGGAGUCUUGAGUACAGUAGAGGUGGGCGGAAUUCGUGGUGUAGCGGUGAAAUGCUUAGAUAUCACGAAGAACUCCGAUGGCGAAGGCAGCUCACUGGACUGCAACUGACACUGAGGCUCGAAAGUGUGGGUAUCAAACAGGAUUAGAUACCCUGGUAGUC